GGUUGACUGGCAAGACUUUCUUGAGGUCUCCAACACCGGAUGUCGAGGGUUCGAGUCCUUCAGGGC
rnacentral:tRNA from 3 species